AAGUCGUAACAAGGUUUCCGUAGGUGAACCUGCGGAAGGAUCAUUACUGUAGUUUUGAAGAUUUUUUGAAGCAUUUACUGCUUUGAAAAACUAAAUCUUCUCAACCAACAAUGUGCACUUAAAAGGUUUUCUUUGGUGGUUUUUAAAACCCGCUUCGAGUCUUGUACUUGGAACUAACUUGGGAAUGUGUAAUAUAAUUCUCAGGGGGCCACCGCUUUUUUAUAUUAAAACAUAUUGUUUAUCUAUUUUUUUUCAUUCUUUUUGUUUAUCAAUUGCCAAAGCAAUGCGGCUUUUGAAUAAAAAUAAACUUAAAAGAAAACAACUUUUGACAACGGAUCUCUUGGCUCUC
rnacentral:misc_RNA from 1 species